rnacentral:rRNA from 1 species
GUCUAUGGCCAUAGCACAUUGAACACGCCAAAUCUUGUCUGAUCUCAGAAGCUCAGCUGGGUCGGACUGGUUAGUACUUGGAUGGGAGAAAUUCCACUCCUGGGCACAUAUGCAAGGAAGAUU